AUGUCGCCAGACCACUUCGCCGGAACGCCUCCGUCGCUCGUCCCCGACCUCCUCCCCACCGGACCACGUCGAGCCUCGCCGCCCCGCUCCUCUUCAAACGCCAGUGAGGGCAUCGCCCUCCCCCCUUCCCUGCCUCCACUCCGUGCCCGCCACGUCGUUCCCCGUGUAGCUCCCGGCAUGCUCAUCGUCUGUGCCCGCUCCUGGCCGUGCCAAAGUGUGCACGCGCCCGCACCCCGUGCUGUCCGCACCACCGCGCGCAUCCCGACGCCCCUGAACGCGCCCACGUGUUUUGGGCUUGGCCCAUUCGGUGGGAACCAUGGCUCAUUCAAUGGUGGUGGAAGGCUGAUCCAGCCUUAUAUAUUCUCGUCUAGUGAAAUCAGCUCCAGGCAAUGUAGUUCUUCUCCAUUGAAAAAGUUAAAUUUUUCAAGGUCGUCAUUCAACCCCCCUUCCGACUCCCGGCAUUCGAUCCUACAAUUGGCAUCAGAGCCCGGUCGGCUCAUCUGUUUGGAUAGGAGAGAGCAUGAGCAUGUUGCACACCUAGACACUGCUCACAAAAUUUGGUCCACUCUCAUCACUUACCAUGAGGGCACUAGUGAGAUUAAGACAGCUCAUCAGGACAUUUACAAAGCUGAGUACAACAAAUUUGAGCAGUUACCUAGUGAGUCUCUAGAGGACAUGUUUGGUAGGUUUGAGGUCAUAGUUGGAAAAUUGAGGGGUGUCGGGGUUGUGUACAAUGAUUCUGAGAAAGCUAGACACAUCCUAAACUCUCUUGACCCAAUCUAUGAGAUGAGAAAGAUCGCUAUUCAAGAGUCCCAUAAACCUGAUGAGCUCACUGUAGACAUGUUGUUCUCCAAGCUUAAAACUCACCAAAUAGCCAGUGAAGGUAGAAACCCACCUAGGAACAGGACUCUUGCACUAGUUGGUAGUGAAUGCCAAACUGCACAUGGUCCCUCUAGUGUUUCUGAGUCUGGCAGUGGUCCAUCUUCUGGUUUUUCACUUUCUUGUUUGGUUUCAGUCUUUGAUGAACAACUUGAAUCUUUGCCUGAGGAUGAUCUUGCUCUUUUUGUCCGUCGUUUUUCUCGAGCUUAUAAAAACAUGAGAGAAAGGAAAGGCAAACACACAAAAAUCUGUUUUGAGUGUGGUGUGCAGGGACACUACAGGUCUGAUUGUCCAAAUCUCAAAGAUUAUGGUGAAAAUAGCGGUUGCAAGAACAACUACAUCAAGAAGAAGUCGUUCUCUCGCCAUGAAACCAAGUUCCGGCCAAAGGCUGAGAAGCAUCUUCAGAAGAUGGUUGCUGCAAUUGCUUCGGGUCUACAAUCUGUAGUAGAUUUAAGCGACAUCGACUCUGACCAGAGUGGUGAGGAUGGUCCUCCUUCUCCCAAAGGGAAGGAUACAAAGAAGAAGAAGGCUGAUUGGCUCACCAGCAUGUGUUUUAUGGCUCAUGAGGCUGAUGAGGAGAACGACAACACGGAUGAGGUACAAAUGUCUUAUGAUGAAUUAUAUGCUGAGUAUGUGAAAGUUGAAAAUCUGUUUUUAAUGCAAGCAAAAGUCCUUAAAAAAUGUACGCGCACCAUAAAUGAUAAUCUUGCUCAUAUUGAUUCUCUCACACUUGAAAUCACUACACUGAAGGAUGCUACUGCUAGUGUGCCUUCUCAUGAUAUUGAUGAUUGUGCUGGACGUGAUGUGUUGCAUGCUGAAUUAGAACUUGCUAGGAAUACUCAUGCUAGUAUGUCACAGUUGCUUGAAUCUGCUAGAAAUGAACUUGAUGAUGUUAAGUUGAGCCCUUGCUCCCUUUGUGUUGAAAAUACACCUAUGUCUGUUCCUAAAGUUGCAGACUAUGCCUGCCCAAACUGUGAUAAAUUAAAUGCUAAAAUUAAGAAUCUUGAACACAUGCUUUUUGAUGCAGAGAAUCCUCCUUCUUGUUUGAAGUGCAAAUACUUUGAUGAUAGGGUUAAAAAGUUCAAUCAAAUGAUCCUAGAUGUGCGUGCUCCUAAAAAUUGUGUAAAUUGUCCUAAACUUGAAGAAGAAGUUAAGGAAUUAGGAGCUCAUCUCAGUGAACUCUAUAAGAAAUAUGAUCUUGUUAAAAUUUCAAAUUCUAAGAAACCUACUGAUUCUUGUGAUGCUUCUUCUAGUUCUGUUACUGCUUGUACCUUUUGUACCAUACUUGAGAAUGAUCUUGUUGCAAUGCAUGAAGCGUUUCAGGUCAGGUUUGGCAAGGGUGUUGCAAAUCCUGUGAGUGUAGAUUGUGUGUCUUGUGAGGGAAUAAAACUUGAGAUUCAGGCCUACAGGGAUAGAUAUGGGAGAGCUGUGAGGGUGUCCUCCUUAAAAGAGUGUUUAUCAUGUGAUUCCUAUGCAAAAGAAGUAGCUUACCUCGAGACGACCCUAGAAAAGCUCUCAAGUGGUGAGAAAAGAUUAAACAUGAUUUUAGAUAAGUCAAAGGUGAGUAAAGGUCUAGGUCUUGGUUUUGACUUUGUGGGAGAUUCUAGGAACAACCCUCCAGAACCCAUAGGCAUUCGAAGUGAUGGAGCUAUCUUGGUCCGUGAGGAUGAGAGAGCGACAGUUUUUCAGUCUAGGGGACUUUUGCCCAUGAGUCCAAAUGACAAUGAGAUGAACGUAGAUCUCAUAUACGUGCUCUUAGGAGCAUGCAACGACAGGCUCGUGCGCUACAUGUUUCUAACACACAUUGUCAGAGUUGGUUGUGAGGGUUUGGCGAACAAGUGGCUUAUUGACUCUGGGUGUUCACGCCACAUGACUGUUUCACAGCUUCUUGAUGAGGGUUUUGAGGUUCGUUUCAAGAAAUUUGCUUCUCAUGUUCUUGACUCUACUGGUGAUCUUGUUUUUGGUAUUUCUCAUGUUGGUAAAAUCUUUGGUGCUGAUUUUGGAGUGCUUUUGUCCUCUGGUCCACGGUGUUUUGUGGCCUCUUCUAAGAUGAGUGAGUUUCAGUUGUGGCAUCGUCGCUUGGGGCAUGUUGGUUUUGACCACUUGAUUCGAAUUGGCGGCCUUGAUCUUUUGCGAGAUAAUGAGGAUGGUGUGGGACAAAACCCCAUAUCCCUUGCACCUGCCACAGAACCUGCUACCACUUCUGUUCCAAUGGAAGAUGGUCCUGUACCUAGUACUUCAUCUAAAACAUCCGUACCCUCAACAUCGAUGGCUUCUGAUCCUACCUCCACUUCAGCUGAGGCAGAGGCUACCACAACUAUUUCCUCACCUGCUUCUGAGGUCCUUCAGGGAUCUCGACGUCUUCAUCAUGCUCACCCACCAGAUCUGAUAAUCGGCAACAUCUCUGAGCGUACUUUGCGCCCCAGGUCCACUCAUUUCUCAGACUUUGCACAUACUGCAUUUGUUGCAUCUUUUGAGCCCCAAGAUAAUCACUCAAGAUACCUGCUCGUGCAGGAGGUGGUAUUUUGCUUGUGCCUAUUCCAUACUUUCUUAAUCAAACCACUCAAGGUACCUGCUCGUGCAGGAGGUGGUGCCUGCUCGUGUAGGAGGUGGCACUUUGCUUGUGAGAUGAUCAACACAUCGAGAAGGACCAAGUGUGAUUUUGCAACUUUCCUUCUCUCUGUUAAAACUAAAACUCUAAUUUUUCUUCCUGAGAUCUGGGUUGGAAAUAUAAACAUCAAGGGGGAGAUUGUUCCAAUGAGUGCGACGGUAGUCGACAAUGAGGAUGGUUGGCAUAAGGCUUGA
rnacentral:rRNA from 1 species